CUCUAGCAGACAUAAUAACAUUAUGGCCUUUGAAAUUAGGCCUCGUCAUGGUUAUUUUAUGCUGGUGUUUGGCUUUUCUUUGUGUUUGCUGAUUCCAGGUGUUGCUAUCCUGUUAAA